UGGGGAAUAUUGGACAACGGGGGCAACCCUGAUCCAGCGAUGCCGCGUGUGUGAAGAAGGCCUGCGGGUUGUAAAGCACUUUAGUUGGGGAGGAAAGGUAUGUACUGCAUAAGUGCAUGCUGUGACGUUACCCAAAGAAUAAGGAUCGGCUAACUCCGUGCCAGCAGCCGCGGUAAUACGGAGGAUCCAAGCGUUAUCCGGAAUCAUUGGGCGUAAAGCGUACCGACAGGUGGUUAAGAAAGUCAGAGGUGAAAUCCCAAGGCUCAACUUUGGGACUGUCCUUUGAAACUUCUUGACUAGAGGGGCAAAGAGGAAGCUGGAACGAACGGUGUAGUAGUGAAAUGCGUUGAUAUCGUUCGGAACACCAAUAGCGAAGGCGGCCCACUGGAUCGGUACUGACGCUGAGGUGCGAAAGCGUGGGGAGCAAACAGGAUUAGAUACCCCCGUAGUCCCUGAGCGGGCUGGCAAGGCGCAU
rnacentral:rRNA from 1 species